rnacentral:lncRNA from 1 species
GCAAAUGCUUUGGAGCAAGAAACUAAACUGGGGUUACGACGGUUUGAAGUUUGUGACAACAUUGAUCUUGAAACUAUUUUGAUGGAAUAUGAGAGUUAUUAUUUUGUAAAAUUUCAGAAAUACCCCAAAAUUGUCAAAAAGUCAUCAGACACAGAAAAUAAUUUACCGCAAAGAAGUAGAGGGAAGACCAGAAGGUAAAGUGAAUGGUAAUUCUUCUUAAUCGACUCGGCUCGAGGAGCUUGUGGAAUCCCUUUCCAGAAGCUUUACCAUCACAGCUCUGUGACUGUCUCCCAGCAAUACUGACUGCAGUCAUGUGACCUGGCCCAGCCCAGGACUUCUCUCAUUACAGCUGCCCCA